rnacentral:rRNA from 1 species
GAUGAACGCUGGCGGCGUGCCUAAUACAUGCAAGUCGAGCGAACAGAUGAGGAGCUUGCUCCUCUGACGUUAGCGGCGGACGGGUGAGUAACACGUGGAUCACCUACCUAUAAGACUGGGAUAACUUCGGGAAACCGGAGCUAAUACCGGAUAAUAUAUUGAACCGCAUGGUUCAAUAGUGAAAGACGGUUUUGCUGUCACUUAUAGAUGGAUCCGCGCCGCAUUAGCUAGUUGGUAAGGUAACGGCUUACCAAGGCAACGAUGCGUAGCCGACCUGAGAGGGUGAUCGGCCACACUGGAACUGAGACACGGUCCAGACUCCUACGGGAGGCAGCAGUAGGGAAUCUUCCGCAAUGGGCGAAAGCCUGACGGAGCAACGCCGCGUGAGUGAUGAAGAUCUUCGGAUCGUAAAACUCUGUUAUUAGGGAAGAACAAAUGUGUAAGUAACUAUGCACGUCUUGACGGUACCUAAUCAGAAAGCCACGGCUAACUACGUG